AAAGUUCACACACACAAGUCAGCGUGAGCGCACACACAGAGAGAAAAACACAACUGAACCAUCUGUUUGCUGUUUCUGCUUUCAUCAUUUCAUUUCUGCUGCUUCAUCAGGCUGGAGUAUCUCAGUGACUUGGUUGAGGUGAAGUAUGACGAGUAUCCCUGAUUCAUUCCAUCGAGACAAAGGGGAAAGAAAGCUGUUGUUAACAAACUCUAUGGUAAUGUGGCAUUUAGCUCUGAUUCUACACUCUGCUGAAUCCUCUGAACCUGUUCUGCUGAUCAGUAAAGCUCUACGUGCUGCAGCAGAUUGACCUCAUCUGUUUUCACAGGUGUGGACCUCAGCGCUGAGGUGCAGGAGAGUUUCAGUCAGUUCUCCCUGCAAACCAGCAUCCAGCCUGAAAAUACUGUCAUCUUUCCCAGAAAUGGUCGUCUUAUCUCAGAGAAGAAGUUUGAUGCAGAUUUACAGCAGACAAACAACACGGUGACAGACUUUGACCGCUGCAAAAACAAAGAAUAAAGGUCUAUUUAAACUGGACAUCUCCUCAGCAUCACCAGUGGUGUCAUGGUUUCAAAGCUGUGCAGUAGAGCAAAGAAUCUGAGGGAUGAUACAGAGAUGACCAAAGUUACAGACAAAUCCAGCUGUGCUGGAAAUGUUUGCAGAGCUCCAAACUCUUUGGCUUUCUGUAGAGCAAGUGGUUUGUCUGUCGUAAAGCCAAUAUGAAGUCCGGCCAUGGUUGAGCCAACUGAAGAUGGGGUUUUAAGGUGGCAUUCUCAUUUCCUCUCGAUACAUGUUGGAAAAUGGAGACUUUAGCCACCAAGACUGACGUGCCUGGAAACUUCCCUUCACGGGCUUUGUGACUGAAAUGCGUGUGGUCGAUGGGAAGCCUGACGAGUACGGCCUGAAUCAUUACAUCAACACCGGACGGAGUGAAACCUUUGUUGAAAACAGAUUAUAUGGACGCAGUCUGGACCUCAGCGCUGAGGAGAAGUUCAACCAGCUCUGCUUGCAGACCGACAUCCUUCCUGAAAAUAUUCUUCAUCUUCCUAAAACUUUUACAUUGGUGCUGAAGUUCUAUAUAAAAACAGCCUGAAAUACAAACUGAUGUUGUGCACUGAUUACCUCACACUGUCCAUGUUUCCUUCUACAGAGGAGUGUCCGCUUCAGUGCUUUGUCUGACUGAUCUGUUGUUGAUCGUCUCACCGACACUGCAUAAAUAUCUGACACCAUCUGUUAUGGAAAUAUGACUGAGCAAC
ensembl:lncRNA